AUGGCAGAAUCUGCAGUUUCUGCUGUGGUGGGAAGAAUUGGUAACCUGGUCGUCAGGGAGUCAUCGCUACUUUGUUCAGUCACCGGUGAAGUGGAGUUCUUGAAGGAGGAGCUAGAGAGGCUGCAGGGUUUUCUGGAAGACGCCGACAACAAGAUGAGGUCUGGCAACGCGAGCAUGGCUGUCUGCGUCAGGCAGCUCAGAGAUGCAUCAUAUGAAACGGAGAACAUUAUUGAAGCUGCAGUGUACGUGAAGUUGCGAAGCAGGCUGAAGAAGGGUUUUAUGGGUGCCAUCUCAAGGUAUGCUCGUUUGCCAAGAAAGUUUGUUGCCCUUCAUAAGGUUGAUGUUCAAAUUCGUCGUGUAAGGCGUAAAAUCAGUGCAAUUGAGAAUAGCAUGUUUAAUUUAAAUAUUGCCAACCUCAGCAUCGAUGCGUCAGAGGAUAUUGAGGAUAAUGCACUUAUCCCGCAGAAUUUUGUAGAUGAUGUUGUUGUUGGUUUUGAGGAUGAGUGCAAAGAAAUAGUGGAAAAGCUAGUUGACCAAAAGAAUGAAAAACUUAGUGCUGUCUCAUUGGUAGCCAUGGGUGGAGCAGGAAAGACUACACUCGCUAGAAAAGCGUACAAUUCACCUAGAGUAAAAGAAUACUUUAAUGAAUUUGCUUGGGUGACUGUAUCCCAAAAGUUCAAGGGCAUUGAUGUACUAAAUGAUAUUCUGAAACAAAUAACGGGGGCCAGUUAUGAAUCAAGCAAGGCAACUGAUCAAAUCCAGGAGAAUGAGAUCGGAAAGAAGAUCCAUGACUUUCUAUUACAAAGAAGAUACUUGUUGGUUCUUGAUGAUGUGUGGGAGGCAGACACUUGGGAGCAAAUAAAUAGAGCAGCUAAAGUCUUUCCAGAUACAAAUAAUGGCAGUAGAGUACUGUUAACCACACGGAAAAAAGAUGUUGCGCAUCAUAUUCAAACUUAUGUUUGUGAUCUAAAGCUCAUGGAUGAAGAGAAAUCUUGGGAGCUUUUUAAAAGCAAAGUUUUACCAUCAUACAGAACGUACAUGAUUUGUAAUCCUGACAAGUUUGAAGAAAUAGGGAGAAAACUUGCAAGGAAGUGUGCUGGCCUGCCACUUGCACUUGCAGUUCUUGGGGGGUAUCUAUCGAAGAAUCUAAAUCUAGAUGCAUGGUCAGAUUUGCUUUUGGGUUGGACAUCCAUAGAAGAAGUAGAGGUGGUGGGACACAUACUAGCUCGGAGUUAUAAUGACUUGUCAAAUAAGUGGCGCAAGUCAUGUUUCCUCUAUGUUGCUUCUUUCCCGGAGGAUUAUGAUAUAACUGUGGCAGAUCUGAUUGAAGUCUGGAUAGCUGAAUGCUUCAUUCCACAUACAGCAAGGCAUACAAUGGAAGAAACGGCACAGAGGUAUGUUACCGAUUUGGCUCAAAGGAACUUGGUGCAAUUUGACUUUGCAAUGGCAUCUGGUUAUAUGGCAAUCCAAACAAUAAGGAUUCAUGAUGUUCUACGUGAUUGGUGCAUAGAAGAAGCAAGAAGAGAUGGUUUUCUCCAUAUCAUUGACAAAACUACAGGCCAAGCUGGUGCAUCAUCUUCUGAUAGAGGAAGUAUCCUGUGCAACGAGCCAACUCGUGCACCCAGUACACCGAGCAAUUCUGGGCCAUUGGAUUGGAAAUAG
rnacentral:rRNA from 1 species